GUGUGUGGAGGCCCUAGUGUUCGGUGGGGCUGAUGUGGACCAAAGGGCCAUUGGGGGAAGACCCCUCUGUUCAUGGCCAGCAGAGCCGACAGGCUGGACUGUACCAGUGCCUUGGUCAACGCCGGGGCCGACCGCUCAAGAGCCACCACCGACAGCUGCAAGGGUCUCCACGAGGCAUUCAGCUUGGGACAUGUAGACACUCUGCCACCCUGCCUCUGACUGUACCCACACCAUGACCCUAACCCUGACUGUACCCACACCAUGACCCUGACUGCAACCAUAGUCCUGGUCCUGCCACGAUCCCGGUCCUGUCUAGCACCUUGCUCAACCAGGAUAACUGUGAGGGCUGGACCACUGCACACAUCACUGCUGCCAGGGGCUUCAAGGCCUGUCAGGGGUCGUGCCUUGAUGAGCUGGCCCUGGAAUCCCUCAUGCCUCUUCAGCUGCUUCAGAACUACAUCUUCCUGGUACACACAUACACACACACGCACGCGCACACACACACACACACACACACACACAAGGAAAGAGGAGAAAUAGAAUAUGAUUAUAUGGAUUCACAAAACAGGUCACUUGGAUUUUGGGUUUAGUAUUUUUGUGCCCUCUACUGGCCACAUGUAUACUGGCCACAUAUUUUGGGGAAUGAAAAUGUGGCUGUGUCCUAAUUCUCUGCCUUUCUCCAUAAGUGUGUCUGAAACUGCUUGCUAAUAAAGGACAGGAUAGAAAGGACGCUUAGUGUGUCACUUUGUGUUAUGGGCCGUAAGGGGACCUGUCAAGAGUACCUAGCCAAUCAGACUUCCCUCUGCAUCAAGAUGAAGCAGGAGUCUGUGGGUGUGGCCUGUGACAUCUGGGUGGAGGUGGACAGGGGUCUCACUAAAGAACAUCUGUUGGACACCUUCAUCAACUGUGUCCAGGUGGCUGGCCUGGCUCUGGAACAUAGUGGUGGUCCUUCACGUGGAGUAGGCCAUCGUCUCCCGGCUCUGGAACAGAGUGGAGGUCCUUCAUGUGGAGUAGGCCAUCGUCUCCCGGCUCUGGAACAUAGUGGAGGUCCUUCACGUGGAGUAGGCCAUCGUCUCCCGGCUCGCCCGGGAGACGAUGCCUAACUCCACGUGAAGGACCUCCCAACUAUGUUCUCAGAGCCGGGAGACUGGCCCUACUCCACGUGAAGGACCUCCACUAGUUUCCAGAGCCGGGAGACGAUGGCCUAACUCCACGUGAAGCACCUCCACUCUGUUCCACCAGAGCCAGGGGACGAUGGCCUACUCCACGUGAAGGACCUCCACUAUGUUUCCAGAGCCGGGAGACGAUGGCCUACCUCCAAGUGAAGGACCUCCACUAUGUUUCCCAGAGCCGGGAGAGAUGGCCUACUCCACGUGAAGGACCUCCACUCUGUUCCAGAGAAGCCGGAGGAGGCCAUGGGCCCUACUCCACUGAAGGACCUCCACUAUGUUCCAGAGCCGGGAGACGAUGGCCUACUCCACGUGAAGGACCUCCACUAUGUUCCAGAGCCGGGAGACGAUGGCCUACUCCCACGUGAAGGAACCUCCAACUAUGUUCCAGAGCCGGGAGAGAUGGCCUUACUCCAGGUGAAGGACCUCCACAUGUUCCAGAUCCGGGAGAACGAUGGCUACUCCACGUGAAGGACUCCACUAUGUUCCAGAGCCGGGAAGAACGAGGGCCCUACGCCACGUGAAGGACCUCCACUAUGUUCCGAGCCGGGAGACGAUGGCCUACUCCCGUGAAGGACCUCCACCUAUGUUUCCAGAGCCGGGAGACAAUGGCCUACUCCAUGAAGGACCUCCACUAUGUUCCAGAGCCGGGAGAACGCAUGGCGUACUCCUGUGAAGGACUCCACUAUGUUCCAGAGCCGGGAGACGAGGGCCUACUCCAACGUGAAGGACCUCCACUAUGUUCCAGAGCCGGGAGACGAUGGCCUACCUCCACAUGAAGGACCUCCACUUAUGGUG
ensembl:lncRNA